CUUGCAGAUAACCAGUGAUGGGACCAGAGGGAAUGGCCUGGAGUUGUGCCAGGGGAGGUUCAGGUGGGAAAUGAGGAGCCAUUUCUGCUCAGAAGGAGCGGUCAGGCCUUGGGACGGGUUGCCUGGGGAGGUGGUGGAGUCACCGUCCCUGGGGGUGUUCAAGGACAGGUUGGACGUGGUGCCUGGGGACGUGGUUCAGUGGUGACACUAUUAAGUAGGGUCUGGC